AUGCCUUGGUUUAGGAGAUAUUUUUUAGUUAAUAAGGAACUCAUUCGUGGACUGAUUCCGACCCUUUACCAGAAUAAAACAGAGGAGCGGUAUGGUUUCAUAAGAG